GAAGAAACUGAGCAUCAGAAGAGAAUACAACGACACAUAAAGACAAAGCAACUCCUUACUAAUAGCUAAAACACUUUUAACAUUAUACAAAUUUUACAACCUACAGAUUGUCAAAAGUUCAAGACAUAAGAUACACAGCAAUGGCUUCAAUGAAAUCACUCAUGUUCGUUAUGGUCUUAGUGGCUCUGACGUUGACGUCAGAUGGUCGUCGUCGUAAAGCUUGUCGGAAUGACGGCGCCACAGGAAACUGCGCGGAGGUUGUGGGACGGCGGGGAGCGCUCAAGGGAGUCGGACUGUGUCAGAAACAGGGCGGCACUUGCAUGCACUUCCUUAGACGUGGCAACAUGAAGUGUGCGUGCAUUGAGGUGAAACCUGGCACUGUGACAUUGUUCUAGUACUGUGUAUUAGGGGACUUCAAAGAUCAUGUGACCAUUGCUUCAGAAACGCUUGGAGCAGUUUUAAAACAGUACAGUCCGAAAGGUGAAAAUAAUUUCCUAGUUACAAAACUGCUUAUUAUUUCUUAAUGAAAUGUCAUCCUUGGUAUUAUACACUUACCAUUUGUCUUCAACAGGAAAUGUGUAUCGAAUAUACGCGAAAAGGGUAUUUUUAUUAUAAAAUUAUUUUACUUGUGUAAGUGAAAAUUGUUAAUAUUAAUACAUUUACCAUUUUACGGAAAUGUGAUCUUUUUUGUAAAUUUCAUUUUGUAUAUAUUUCAUUAUUUAAUAUUUAUUUAUCUAUGAUUGUGAUUGUAUUAUCAUUUUUGUUUGAUAAUUUUACAUUUUUACUUGUUGAUCAUUUUUGAGACAUUUUAUCAGUUUUACAUUUAACGAUUGCUUAUGGGGGAGCCUGUCCAAAUAUAUACAAAGUAUUCAUACAUAAUGUUUUUUCAUAAGCGCAUUAUUUAUAUGAGAAAGUUAUUUCUAUUACAUAAAUAAAUUUUACAGCUGA